rnacentral:rRNA from 1 species
GACGAACGCUGGCGGCGUGCUUAACACAUGCAAGUCGAGCGGAAAGGCCUGCUUUCCCUUGUGGAUUGCGGGUACUCGAGUGGCGAACGGGUGAGUAACACGUGAGUGAUCUGCCCCCAACUUGGGUAUAAGCCUGGGAAACUGGGUCUAAUUCCCGAUAGGACUGCAGGGUGGUGCCUGUGGUGGAAAACGAUUUUCUAGUGGUUGGGGAUGAGCUCGCGGCCUAUCAGCUUGUUGGUGGGGUAAUGGCCUACCAAGGCGGCGACGGGUAGCCGGCCUGAGAGGGUGGACGGCCACAUUGGGACUGAGAUACGGCCCAGACUCCUACGGGAGGCAGCAGUGGGGAAUAUCGCACAAUGGGCGGAAGCCUGAUGCAGCGACGCCGCGUGGGGGAUGACGGCCUUCGGGUUGUAAACUCCUUUCGACCGCGAGGAAGCCACCUGGUUGGAAGGGUGGUGACGGUAGUGGUAGAAGAAGCACCGGCUAACUACGUG